CCCUAAGUGGCGGACGGGUGAGUAACGCGUGAGUAACCUGCCUUUCAGAGGGGAAUAACGUUCUGAAAAGAACGCUAAUACCGCAUAACGUACAGUUACCGCAUGGUAGCAGUACCAAAGGAGCAAUCCGCUGAAAGAUGGACUCGCGUCCGAUUAGCUAGUUGGUGGGGUAAAGGCCUACCAAGGCGACGAUCGGUAGCCGGACUGAGAGGUUGAACGGCCACAUUGGGACUGAGACACGGCCCAG
rnacentral:rRNA from 1 species